UGGAUUCCACUGACACGUAGACGU
rnacentral:miRNA from 2 species